rnacentral:rRNA from 1 species
GAUGAACGCUGGCGGCGUGCUUAACACAUGCAAGUCGAACGAGCCUUCGGGCUAGUGGCGGACGGGUGAGUAACGCGUGGGAAUCUGCCCUCAGGAGGGGGAUAACGGCCGGAAACGGCCGCUAAUACCCCAUAUGCCGAGAGGUGAAAUGAAUUUCGCCUGAGGAUGAGCCCGCGUCUGAUUAGCUAGUUGGUGGGGUAAUGGCCCACCAAGGCGACGAUCAGUAGCUGGUCUGAGAGGAUGAUCAGCCACACUGGGACUGAGACACGGCCCAGACUCCUACGGGAGGCAGCAGUGGGGAAUUUUCCGCAAUGGGCGAAAGCCUGACGGAGCAACGCCGCGUGAGGGAUGAAGGCCUCUGGGCUGUAAACCUCUUUUCUCAAGGAAGAAGACAUGACGGUACUUGAGGAAUAAGCCACGGCUAAUUCCGUGCCAGCAGCCGCGGUAAUACGGGAGUGGCAAGCGUUAUCCGGAAUUAUUGGGCGUAAAGCGUCCGCAGGCGGCCUUGUAAGUCUGUCGUUAAAGCGUGGAGCUUAACUCCAUUUCAGCGAUGGAAACUACAAGGCUUGAGUGUGGUAGGGGCAGAGGGAAUUCCCGGUGUAGCGGUGAAAUGCGUAGAUAUCGGGAAGAACACCAGUGGCGAAGGCGCUCUGCUGGGCCAUAACUGACGCUCAUGGACGAAAGCCAGGGGAGCGAAAGGGAUUAGAUACCCCUGUAGUCCUGGCCGUAAACGAUGAACACUAGGUGUCGGGGGAAUCGACCCCCUCGGUGUCGUAGCUAACGCGUUAAGUGUUCCGCCUGGGGAGUACGCACGCAAGUGUGAAACUCAAAGGAAUUGACGGGGGCCCGCACAAGCGGUGGAGUAUGUGGUUUAAUUCGAUGCAACGCGAAGAACCUUACCAGGGUUUGACAUCCUGCGAAUCCCUUGGAAACGAGGGAGUGCCUUCGGGAGCGCAGAGACAGGUGGUGCAUGGCUGUCGUCAGCUCGUGUCGUGAGAUGUUGGGUUAAGUCCCGCAACGAGCGCAACCCACGUCUUUAGUUGCCAGCAUUCAGUUGGGCACUCUAGAGAGACCGCCGGUGAUAAACCGGAGGAAGGUGUGGAUGACGUCAAGUCAUCAUGCCCCUUACAUCCUGGGCUACACACGUACUACAAUGCUACGGACAAAGGGUUGCAAGCUCGCGAGAGUUAGCUAAUCCCAUAAACCGUGGCUCAGUUCAGAUCGUAGGCUGCAACUCGCCUACGUGAAGGAGGAAUCGCUAGUAAUCGCAGGUCAGCAUACUGCGGUGAAUACGUUCCCGGGCCUUGUACACACCGCCCGUCACACCAUGGAAGUUGGCCAUGCCCGAAGUCGUUACUCCAACCCUUGUGGAGGAAGACGCCGAAAGUGGGGCUGAUGACUGGGGUGAAGUCGUAACAAGGUAGCCGUACCGGAAGGUGCGGCUGGAUCACCUCCU